ensembl:lncRNA
AAAGACCCCAGCUUAGCAGCAGUAACGCCAUUUUGCAAGGCUGUACUUAAGAUGACUGGUUCAGGGAAAGGUUAGAACACUGAGUACACAGCGGCUGCCAAGCAGGAUGUGUUUGGUUGAAGGCCUGGCAACAGGACGACUUCGGUUGAGCACCUGACAAUGAAAAAAAAGCCCCGGGAGAGGUCCCACACCCUGGUGGGGGGCCGAGUCAGUCGUUAUGUUCCAAGAAGGUAGCUAAGAAACUUGCCCCCGGGCUGAACCCUUGGGGGGCCGAGUCAGCCGUUAUGUUUCAGGAAGGUAGCUAGGAAACUUGCCCCCGGGCUAAACCCUUGCCAUAUUAGAAUCCACCAAUUAUAUCCCUGUAACCAUGCAUCUGCUUCUGUAUGCUUGCUUCUGCUCCCCAAAAUCCUAUAAAAGCCCAUCCUUGGUUCCGUGGGGCACGCCAGUCCCCCGAGUGACUGAAGCGCCCGCAGGUGCCUGUGCCUGUGUAUCCCGACAAUAAACCAAAUCCUCUUGCUGAUUGCAUCCUGUGGUGUCUCGGUCUGGUCUUUGGAUUUGGAGGGUCUCCAUCCCGAGGGAAAGUUCUCCCUGAGAGCUUUUCAUUUGGUGUAUUGGCCGGGAAAGGAGAUCCUCCACCCAGGGACCACCGACCACCCACUGGGAGGUAAGCCGGCCGGCGUCUGUCUGUCUGUCUGAUUUUGUCUCGUUCUGCCUUAUUCUGUCUGUUCUGUGAGCACUCAGCCAGGUCUGUUCUGUGAGCGCUCAGCCAGGUUGUUUGGAAUUUGGGCGGGACGAAGAAGGAGCUGACGAGCUCGGACUUCUCGCCCCGCAGCCCUGGAAGACGUUCCAAG